UACGAAGGGGGCUAGCGUUGCUCGGAAUCACUGGGCGUAAAGCGCACGUAGGCGGCUUUUUAAGUCAGGGGUGAAAUCCUGGAGCUCAACUCCAGAACUGCCUUUGAUACUGAGAAGCUUGAGUCCGGGAGAGGUGAGUGGAACUGCGAGUGUAGAGGUGAAAUUCGUAGAUAUUCGGAAGAACACCAGUGGCGAAGGCGACACACUGGCCCGUUACUGACGCUGAGGCGCGAAAGCGUGGGGAGCAAACAGG
rnacentral:rRNA from 1 species